UCCGGUGGCUAUAGCAUGGGGGAAACACCCGAUCCCAUCCCGAACUCGGUAGUUAAGCCCUAUAGCGCCAAUGGUACUGCGCGGGAAACCAGCGUGGGAGAGUAGGACGUUGCCGGGA
rnacentral:rRNA from 1 species